UUGCUUGCUUUGGCAUUAUAUACGCUAAAAUUGGAACAAUACAGAGAAGAUUAAAAUGGACCCCAUGCAAAAGUGACACACAAAUUUGAAAAGCAUUCCAUAAAGAA
ensembl:snRNA U6 U6 spliceosomal RNA